GAUCCUGGCUCAGGAUGAACGCUGGCGGCGUGCUUAACACAUGCAAGUCGAGCGAAGCACUUUGCUUUGAUUUCUUCGGGAUGAAGAGCUUGGUGACUGAGCGGCGGACGGGUGGAGUAACGCGUGGGUAACCUGCCUCAUACAGGGGGAUAACAGUUAGAAUGACUGCUAAUACCGCAUAAGGCCACAGCACCGCAUGGUGCAGGGGUAAAAACUCCGGUGGU
rnacentral:rRNA from 1 species